rnacentral:rRNA from 1 species
UUAGAUACCCUGGUAGUCCACGCCGUAAACGAUGGAUACUAGGUGUGGGGGGACUGACCCCCUCCGUGCCGCAGCUAACGCAAUAAGUAUCCCACCUGGGGAGUACGAUCGCAAGGUUGAAACUCAAAGGAAUUGACGGGGGCCCGCACAAGCGGUGGAGUAUGUGGUUUAAUUCGAAGCAACGCGAAGAACCUUACCAGGGCUUGACAUCCUGCUAACGAACCAGAGAUGGAUUAGGUGCCCUUCGGGGAAAGCAGAGACAGGUGGUGCAUGGUUGUCGUCAGCUCGUGUCGUGAGAUGUUGGGUUAAGUCCCGCAACGAGCGCAACCCUUAUUGUUAGUUGCUACGCAAGAGCACUCUAACGAGACUGCCGUUGACAAAACGGAGGAAGGUGGGGACGACGUCAAAUCAUCAUGCCCCUUACGUCCUGNGCCACACACGUACUACAAUGGCGGCCAACAAAGAGAGGCAAGACCGCGAGGUGGAGCAAAUCUCAAAAAGCCGUCCCAGUUCGGAUCGCANGCUGCAACCCGCCUGCGUGAAGUUGGAAUCGCUAGUAAUCGCGGAUCAGCAUGCCGCGGUGAAUACGUUCCCGGGCCUUGUACACACCGCCCGUCACACCAUGAGAGUCGGGAACACCCGAAAUCCGUUACCUANCCCCAAUGUGGGCGCCGCCCCAAGGUGGGUUCCAUUAUUGGGGUGAAGUCCGAACCCAAUUUCACCAACUUGGCGCCGUACUUAUGGAAUCCAGCUGGAGCAA